CAGCAGUAGGGAAUCUUCCACAAUGGACGAAAGUCUGAUGGAGCAACGCCGCGUGAGUGAAGAAGGGUUUCGGCUCGUAAAGCUCUGUUGGUAGUGAAGAAAGAUAGAGGUAGUAACUGGCCUUUAUUUGACGGUAAUUACUUAGAAAGUCACGGCUAACUACGUGCCAGCAGCCGCGGUAAUACGUAGGUGGCAAGCGUUGUCCGGAUUUAUUGGGCGUAAAGCGAGCGCAGGCGGAAAGAUAAGUCUGAUGUGAAAGCCCCCGGCUUAACCGAGGAAUUGCAUCGGAAACUGUGUUUCUUGAGUGCAGAAGAGGAGAGUGGAACUCCAUGUGUAGCGGUGGAAUGCGUAGAUAUAUGGAAGAACACCAGUGGCGAAGGCGGCUCUCUGGUCUGUAACUGACGCUGAGGCUCGAAAGCAUGGGUAGCGAACAGGAUUAGA
rnacentral:rRNA from 1 species